GUGCUUGCUUUGUCAGCACAUGUACUUAAAUUGGAAAGAUACAGAAAAGAUUAUCCCAGCCCUGUGUGAAGAUGACCUACAAAUUUAUGACUCUCACUUUGUU